AUUUUAUAGAAGUUCAAAUCUUUACUCUUUUUCUUGUUUAUUUUGCAGGAGUCAUCUACAAUACUGGCAGUACCCUUGGGGCAGAAAAUUCAACUCAAUCUCUUGCAAAUUAUUUUGAUGCUUCAUAUGGGAAGAAUGCCAUGUCACCAGACAACUUACUGAAGGUAUUCUUUGUCAUCACUUAUUAUUAUCUAUGUUUCCUCGUGACUUGAAUUAGAUUGAAUUUUGGUUAUAUCAACUUGUUGAAUUCUUUUAGGAAUAUUAUUUGCAUUAAUAGGAUCUGCCAUUGGCCAAACUAUGAAAUCAUCUACCACAAGCAACAAUCAGUCCAUGGAUGAUGAGAAUCCCAUAAUACUAGUGAUAGACUAUUGUGUAUGCGGUUCAUAUAGAGUGAAACAUAGGUUUAUUGGAUCAAAUAGUCCAAUGCCGGAGCGGAGUGAAGCAGCCUAGUGAUAUAAUGCUUCAACCUGGAAGAUGGAGCCACGUGCUCCUUCAUCCAACAGUCAUCAUUUCGACUAUACCAACUCUUGUAGACAGUUGAAUCUAAUGUAACUCUUUACAUACAAAAAGUUACUCUUUAUCUUCUCUUUGGC
rnacentral:lncRNA from 1 species